ensembl:lncRNA
AUUUUUCAGAACCUUUUCCAGUAGUAUACCAGUCUACACUCUAUCAUGGAGAGGUCCUCAGGCAAGAUUUGGAAGCUGCCCCAAAUUGCAGAAGCCAUCAUUCUCCUGGAAGUAGGGGGCGAAGUCAGGGCUUCUGCCGACCUCGAGUUUUGCGGUGGCCUCUGCAGGGGAGGGUGGGUCUCCUUGCUGCUGGCAGCUACGACCAUUCACAGCGCUUUCCAGCUACUCCUGGCCUGAGCGUCAGUAGCAACUUCCUGAUUCUGUGGAGGAAACCUGAGAGAUUUGGUGGCUGUUUACAUUGUGCCUGCGUGCAAGACCUGACCUAUCAUUUGCUCUUUCUUUUGGGGAUUUUAAUGUGUCCAUCUUCGCUCUCUGAUUUCAUUUCCUGGGAUCCUCAUCUUCCAAAUAAAUGCUGCAUUAUCAAGCAAGUAACCCUGUGGGCAAUCAGGGCUUAAAGCCAUCCGAGAACCCUGGACACCAACACAGACCACGUGACCUGGGAUCGUCCCACCCGAGUAGUGAGGCUGCAGACCCUCAGGCCCUUCAGAUCCACAGCAGGCUCCAGGGUCAGGAAUAGCCCUUGGCUGGAGAAGGGAAGAGGUUUGCAGUCACCACAGGCACUGCAAUGGGAAGGCCUGUGGGGGCACUGACAGCAUCUGCAGCAGUGAAUUACUGGGGUCCUUAUCACUGCAGGAAACUGGGGCUAGAAGUUUCUGGAACCCUCAGAGUAGCUGCAUAGAAUGUGCUGCACAAGGCAUGGAAUAGGGGCGUAUAAUUCUACAAUAUUCCAUUACCCUUUGGCCACAUGGUAACUAGCUUGCAAUUCCCGAUCCAUACCUGAGCCAGAAUGGAGAAGUGGGCUCCCACAGGUAUUCAUGCGGCAGCAACCAAGACAUCCUGGGGCAGAAAGCAAGACUGAUGAGCAACUGAGAUGGGAUGUUAGACUACACGCGCAUAAUUCUGAAGCAACUCUGGAGCAAAAAGUUAGGCCAAGAGGGUAUGACACGGGGCCUCAAAGAUAAAUCCACACUCCAACGUUUACAUCUUUCUAAGUCCUUGGAUUCUUUCCUCUAAGUUUUAUUAAACAGGUUCUGGUACCUUGACUUCAACUUAAUAUAGGCCAACAUUGAACUUGCAUUUAAACCAACAGCUCAUUUACACCUAGCUGCUUAAGACAACGCGUUAAAUCUGAACCUUUCUAAAAACAAUGAGAAAUUGCAGUUUAACACCAGAACUUCCUGUGUAAACACAAACAAUUUGAGGUAAAAAAAGUAUGGAUUUUUGUCCAUAAUAUGGGCUAAUCUGUAGCCAACUGGCCCAGACACUUCAUUAACAACUAACAUUUAGGAAAAAUGAGGGAAACAUUUGAGACAAAAAGAGAUGAGAGAGAGAAGCACUCCUGCAAUGCCUGAGGAACCAUCUCUGAAAAUUCACUUCUCCAUAAAAGCAGCGAGGACACUGGCAAGAUUUGUCAAGAUCAACUUUUUAAGAACUCUUGAAAUCAGCCAGAGGCUUGCAACAACCUGGGGAGCAUUUUUUCAAGAGAAAUGGCUCAAUCUCAGUUGUAAUGGUGCAUUGGUGCAUUUUAACUUGCCCUAUUCCCAUCCCCCUUUCCUCAGCCUCAUGGGAGUCUUAAACACUGCAAAACCUUACUACUGUGGUAGCUGCAAGAACCAGCAGCCUGGGAGCCACUGGAAGGAAGAGAACUGUUUGGAUCUCCCCCAAAACCCCAUCCACAGAGAAUUUUCACUAUUUGGCCUGAAAAGCUCUAUUCUCAGGACUAAUUGUGAUCAGUCCUAUUCCAGGGUGUUUGUUGAAAACAAUUAGAGGCAAUUGUUUAAUGUAGAUGUCUAAGGCAGCAUUACCAGUUGGGGAUAACAAAGGCUAACCCAAGUUCCAACAUAUUCCGGGGAUAUAGAUGGCCACACACAAGUGAGAGCUGUUGCCUGCCCCAGACAGACCUGAGAAGGCCCUAAUCUCUCAUUUCUUUCAGCAAAAGGUAAAUGAAUCUUAUGGGCUCAGAGGUUUAAGGAAACUUCUGUCCAAUGGUUAACUGACCACUAAGCUAAUAGAGCAGGGACUACAGUGGCUGUGCAUGACCAAGAGUAUAGAUUUUACAAAUUUAAUCCAGUAAAACAAAAACACACAGCAGUAGCGACAACAGCAGCAACAGUGACAAGCAACAACACAACUGGGAGGAGGGGAGAUCUGACUUCCACAGUUAAAAUGUCCAAUUUUCAACCAAAAUUAUAAGACCCUCAUGAAAUAGGGAAGUAUGACCCACGUAGGACAAAAGGCAGCCAAUGGAAACUGUCCCCAAGGAAGCAAAGAUGUUGGACAUGCUAGAUAAAGACUUUAAAUCAGCUACCAUAAAUAUCUUAAGAGAACUAAAAGAAACCAUGUCUAAAAACUAAAGGAAAGCAUGAGAACAAUGUCUCACCAAAUAGAGAAUAUUAAUAGACAUGAAAAUUAUAAGAG